GAAGGAACGUUCUGACAAACGAAGGUAGUAGCUGUUCAGACAAACAUUACAGUAGCUAUCCUAUCGGUGAUUAAUGCCCUCCUCGGGGUGGCGGUUCACCUCCCUUUAUAGGGCUAUAAAGUUACAUUUCGGCAUCCCCGUUAUACCCAUAUCCAACCACUACAUCCUAAGAAUAUUCCGCACUGGACGGUAACUUGAUUCCUACCCAAAAUGUCACUUUCACGGUAGAACUAUAUAUCCAAC
rnacentral:lncRNA from 1 species